UGAAGAAUUUGUCCAACGGCGGGGGAUAGCCGGCCCAACGGCCGGGUAAUACCGCGUACGACCCGUCGGGGGGCAUCCCCUGAAGGUGAAAGCCGCAAGGCGCCGAUGGAGAACUUCGCGGCCUAUCAGCUAGUUGGUGAGGUCAUGGCUCACCAAGGCGACGACGGGUAGCUGGUCCGAGAGGAUGGCCAGCCACAUUGGGACUGAGACACGGCCCAGACCUCCGUACGGGAGCAG
rnacentral:rRNA from 1 species